GCUGCAACUCGCCUGCAUGAAGUCGGAAUUGCUAGUAAUCGCGGAUCAGCAUGCCGCGGUGAAUACGUUCUCGGGCCUUGUACACACCGCCCGUCACACCAUGGGAGACGGUAACACCCGAAGUCUGUAGCCUGACGCAAGAGGGCGCAGCCGAAGGUGGGAUUGAUGACUGGGGUGAAGUCGUAACAAGGUAGC
rnacentral:rRNA from 1 species